rnacentral:rRNA from 1 species
GAUUCCCUUAGUAAUGGCGAAUGAAACGGGAAAAGCCCAUCGCAGAACUGCUGGCCAUCCAGGUCACGCGGAAUGUUGCGUUUGGAAGGGUCUCUUCCAAGGCUCAGACGCCUGUCAAAGUCCAACUUGACAGUGGCCACAGCCCAUAGAGGGUGCUAGGCCCGUAAGGUGGGCGUCUGACUUUGCUGACCUCUUCCCCGAGUCGGAUAGCUUGAGAGUGCUGUCCAAAGUGCCAGGUAAACUCCUGGUAAGGCUAAAUAUGACCCCAAGACCGAUAGCAAACAAGUACAGUGAUGGAAAUUUGAAAAGAACUUUGAAGNNANAGUUC